UACGUAGGGUGCAAGCGUCGUCCGGAAUUACUGGGCGUAAAGAGUUCGUAGGCGGUUUGUCGCGUCGUUUGUGAAAACUCACAGCUCAACUGUGAGCCUGCAGGCGAUACGGGCAGACUUGAGUACUGCAGGGGAGACUGGAAUUCCUGGUGUAGCGGUGAAAUGCGCAGAUAUCAGGAGGAACACCGGUGGCGAAGGCGGGUCUCUGGGCAGUAACUGACGCUGAGGAACGAAAGCGUGGGUAGCAAACAGG
rnacentral:rRNA from 1 species